rnacentral:rRNA from 1 species
CAAUCCCCGAGUAAAGUGGCGCACGGGUGAGUAACACGUGAAUAAUCUACCUCCGAGUGGGGAAUAACUGAGGGAAACCUUAGCUAAUACCGCAUAAUACCUACGGGUCAAAGGAGCAAUUCGCUUAAGGAGGGGGUCGCGGCAGAUUAGCUAGUUGGCGGGGUAAUGGCCCACCAAGGCAGUGAUCUGUAUCCGGCCUGAGAGGGCGCACGGACACACUGGAACUGAAACACGGUCCAG